UCCGAGUUGACCCCGGCAGUCUCCUGCGAGUCCCCGCCAUUACGCGCUGGCAACACAGGACAAGGGUUGCGCUCGUUGCGGGACUUAACCCAACAUCUCACGACACGAGCUGACGACAGCCAUGCACCACCUGUAUACCGACCACAAGGGGGGCCGUAUCUCUACGGCUUUCCGGUAUAUGUCAAACCGGAGGAAGGUGGGGAUGACGUCGAAUACGUAAC
rnacentral:misc_RNA from 1 species